AGAGUUUGAUCCUGGCUCAGAAUGAACGCUGGCGGCGUGCUUAACACAUGCAAGUCGCACGAGAACGCUUCAGCUUGCUGAAGUAAGUAAAGUGGCGCACGGGUGAGUAACGCGUGGGUAAUCUACCUUCGAAUUGGGGAUAACGUUGCGAAAGUGACGCUAAUACCGAAUGAUAUCAUAAGGACUUUGGUUCUUUUGAUCAAAGAUGGCCUCUCCUUGGAAGCUAUUGUUUGAAGGUGAGCCCGCGUCCCAUUAGCUUGUUGGUGGGGUAAUGGCCUACCAAGGCAGCGAUGGGUAGCUGGUCUGAGAGGAUGAUCAGCCACACUGGAACUGACACACGGUCCAGACUCCUACGGGAGGCAGCAGUGAGGAAUUUUGCGCAAUGGGGGAAACCCUGACGCAGCAACGCCGCGUGAGUGAUGAAGGCUUUCGGGUCGUAAAGCUCUGUCAAGUGGGAAGAACUCCCAUGAGGUUAAUACCCUCAUGGUUUGACGGUACCACUGAAGGAAGCACCGGCUAACUCCGUGCCAGCAGCCGCGGUAAUACGGGGGGUGCAAGCGUUAUUCGGAUUUACUGGGCGUAAAGCGCGCGUAGGCGGCCGUUUAAGUCAGAUGUGAAAGCCCGGGGCUCAACCCCGGGA
rnacentral:rRNA from 1 species